GUGGGGAAUUUUGGACAAUGGGCGCAAGCCUGAUCCAGCAAUGCCGCGUGCAGGAAGAAGGCCUUCGGGUUGUAAACUGCUUUUGUACGGAACGAAACGGUCCUGGCUAAUAUCCGGGGCUAAUGACGGUACCGUAAGAAUAAGCACCGGCUAACUACGUGCCAGCAGCCGCGGUAAUACGUAGGGUGCAAGCGUUAAUCGGAAUUACUGGGCGUAAAGUGUGCGCAGGCGGUUUUGUAAGACAGGCGUGAAAUCCCCGGGCUCAACCUGGGAAUUGCGCUUGUGACUGCAAGGCUGGAGUGCGGCAGAGGGGGAUGGAAUUCCGCGUGUAGCAGUGAAAUGCGUAGAUAUGCGGAGGAACACCGAUGGCGAAGGCAAUCCCCUGGGCCUGCACUGACGCUCAUGCACGAAAGCGUGGGGAGCAAACAGGAUUAGAUACCCUGGUAGUCC
rnacentral:rRNA from 1 species